rnacentral:rRNA from 1 species
GAUGAACGCUGGCGGCGUGCCUAAUACAUGCAAGUCGAGCGAACGGACGAGGAGCUUGCUUCUCUGAUGUUAGCGGCGGACGGGUGAGUAACACGUGGAUAACCUACCUAUAAGACUGGGAUAACUUCGGGAAACCGGAGCUAAUACCGGAUAAUAUUUUGAACCGCAUGGUUCAAAAGUGAAAGACGGUCUUGCUGUCACUUAUAGAUGGAUCCGCGCUGCAUUAGCUAGUUGGUAAGGUAACGGCUUACCAAGGCAACGAUGCAUAGCCGACCUGAGAGGGUGAUCGGCCACACUGGAACUGAGACACGGUCCAGACUCCUACGGGAGGCAGCAGUAGGGAAUCUUCCGCAAUGGGCGAAAGCCUGACGGAGCAGCGCCGCGUGAGUGAUGAAGGUCUUCGGAUCGUAAAACUCUGUUAUUAGGGAAGAACAUAUGUGUAAGUAACUGUGCACAUCUUGACGGUACCUAAUCAGAAAGCCACGGCUAACUACGUG